UCCCUAGUGCCUCAGUUGGUAAAGAAUCUGCCUGCAAUGCAGGAGACCCAGGUUUGACCCCUGGGUCGGGAA
rnacentral:tRNA from 1 species